CAAACUGAAGAUGGCGACCGGCGCACGGGUGGGUAACACGUAUCCAACCUGCCGAUAACUCCGGAAUAGCCUUUCGAAAGAAAGAUUAAUACCGGAUGGCAUACGAAUAUCGCAUGAUAUUUUUAUUAAAGAAUUUCGGUUAUCGAUGGGGAUGCGUUCCAUUAGUUUGUUGGCGGGGUAACGGCCCACCAAGACUACGAUGGAUAGGGGUUCUGAGAGGAAGGUCCCCCACAUUGGAACUGAGACACGGUCCAA
rnacentral:rRNA from 1 species